CUCAUGAGGGGUUUUCUGUCGUCAUGAUAUGAAUUUUUUAGGUGCCUUCUCUAAAAAAGUUGAAGCUUAUAGUGCCAUUGAGGUUGAAAUCCUUGCUUUUUUGGAGGCCUUGAAAAUUGCAUGGAAUAAAUGGUGGAAUUAUCUAUGGCUGGAGAUAGGCUCUUUGUUGGUUAUACAUUAUUUUAAAAACCCAAGUUUGGUUCCUUGGAGAUUGCAUACUCAUUGGAGGAAUGUCUCUUAGCUUUGAUGCAUCAUCAAGAUUUUCUUACCGAGGAGCAUGACUUCUCCUCUACUUCCUCUUCUUGUUCAUUUGCUACCAUCAAAUUCGGCAAAUGACAUCUACACAAAGAAAAACUUACCAACUCAGCUCAGCUGCGAUUCUGGAACAAUUUGAUGCAUUUCCGGGUGAUAUCCAUCAUUGAUGGCUGGGGUUGGGAUCACGGCUCCACUGCCUUUGUCUUGUGAUGCCGUCUCAAUCCCCGAAAAACCAGCUUCUUUC